AUUGAACGCUGGCGGCAUGCCUUACACAUGCAAGUCGAACGGUAACAGGUCUUCGGAUGCUGACGAGUGGCGAACGGGUGAGUAAUACAUCGGAACGUGCCUAGUAGUGGGGGAUAACUACUCGAAGGAGUGGCUAAUACCGCAUGAGAUCUACGGAUGAAAGCAGGGGAUCGCAAGACCUUGUGCUACUAGAGCGGCCGAUGGCAGAUUAGGUAGUUGGUGGGAUAAAAGCUUACCAAGCCGACGAUCUGUAGCUGGUCUGAGAGGACGAUCAGCCACACUGGGACUGAGACACGGCCCAGACUCCUACGGGAGGCAGCAGUGGGGAAUUUUGGACAAUGGGCGCAAGCCUGAUCCAGCAAUGCCGCGUGCAGGGUGAAGGCCUUCGGGUUGUAAACUGCUUUUGUACGGAACGAAAAGCCCUGGGUUAAUACCCUGGGGUCAUGACGGUACCGUAAGAAUAAGCACCGGCUAACUACGUGCCAGCCGCCGCGGUAAGAC
rnacentral:rRNA from 1 species